rnacentral:rRNA from 1 species
GACGAACGCUGGCGGCGUGCCUAAUACAUGCAAGUCGAACGCAGUGGGGACGGGUGAGUAACACCUGGGUAACCUCCCAUCAGAGGGGAUAACCCUUGGAAACCGGUGCUAAACCGAUACUGGUGGAUGGACCCGGAGUGGAUGAGCUGGUUGGUGAGGUAACGGCUUACCAAGGCCACGAUGCAUAGAGGGCCUGUGAGGGGGAUCAGCAACGCGGGGACUGAGACACGGCCCAGACUCCUACGGGAGGUAGCAGUAGGGAAUGUUCGGAUAUGGACGAAAGUCAGACCGGGCAACGCGGCGUGGAUGAAGAAGGUUUUCGGAUCGUAAAAGACUGGUGUUGGGGAGGCGGUAUCUGGCCAAAAAGCAACGGCUAACUACGUGCCAGCCGCCGCGGUAAUUC